rnacentral:rRNA from 1 species
UACGGAGGGUGCAAGCGUUAUCCGGAUUCACUGGGUUUAAAGGGUGCGUAGGCGGGCAGGUAAGUCAGUGGUGAAAUCUCCGGGCUUAACCCGGAAACUGCCAUUGAUACUAUCUGUCUUGAAUACCGUGGAGGUGAGCGGAAUAUGUCAUGUAGCGGUGAAAUGCUUAGAUAUGACAUAGAACACCAAUUGCGAAGGCAGCUCACUACACGAAUAUUGACGCUGAGGCACGAAAGCGUGGGGAGCAAACAGG